rnacentral:rRNA from 1 species
GGNNACGCUGGCGGCGUGCCUACACAUGCAAGUCGAGCGAAGCUUAAGAUUUAGCUUGCUAAAUUUUAAGACUGAGCGGCGAACGGGUGAGUAACACGUGGGUGAUCUACCUGAGAGACGGGGAUAACAGUUGGAAACGGCUGCUAAUACCCGAUGAACCCGACUUUCGACUGAGGCAAUUAGCGAUGAUUGUCUGAGUUGAGAGUCGGGCAAAGCGAUACGUAGCGCUUUCAGAUGAGCCCGCGUCCCAUUAGUUAGUUGGUGGGGUAAAGGCCUACCAAGGCGACGAUGGGUAGCCGGUCUGAGAGGAUGGUCGGCCACACUGGAACUGAGACACGGUCCAGACUCCUACGGGAGGCAGCAGUAAGGAAUAUUGGGCAAUGGGCGAAAGCCUGACCCAGCCAUGCCGCGUGCAGGAUGACGGCCCUACGGGUUGUAAACUGCUUUUAUACGGGAAAAAACCCCCGGUCGUGUAUCGGGGCUGAUGGUACCGUAAGAAUAAGCAUCGGCUAACUCCGUGCCAGCAGCCGCGGUAAUACGGAGGAUGCAAACGUUAUCCGGAUUUAUUGGGUUUAAAGGGUGCGCAGGCGGAAUAGUAAGUCAGUGGUGAAAUCCCCUCGCUCAACGAGGGAACUGCCAUUGAUACUGUUAUUCUUGAGUUCAGUUGGAGUGGGCGGAAUGUGUUGUGUAGCGGUGAAAUGCUUAGAUAUAACACAGAACACCGAUCGCGAAGGCAGCUCACUAAGUUGAUACUGACGCUGAGGCACGAAAGCGUGGGGAGCAAACAGGAUUAGAUACCCUGGUAGUCCACGCCGUAAACU